rnacentral:misc_RNA from 1 species
CAGCGCCGCACACCCUAUCAACCAAUGAGCCACGCACUCCAAUCAUGUUUUGUAUUGUUUUCUUUUCUUGCCCGCCUCUUUUUUUUCCUCUCGGAAAAGGAGGCAUCGCCGCUGGUGGCCUCACGCCCUUCUCGGUUGCUGCUUCCUCGCGUUUCCUUUUGCCGUUGUUUUCUUGGGCUGCCACCCUCCCCCUUUUUUAUACAUAUGUAUGUGUCUGUGUGUGUGUGCGCGCGUGUGCGUCGUUUCUUCACCUCUGAUGACGGUGUCUCUCUUUCUCUCCUUCCACUUCUCUUUUCGUCUCCUUUCCCUCAGUGCACUUGUCUACCUGCGUCUCUGCUCACCCCCUCCCUCUGUGUCUCUCUGCUGCCGCUGCUGUGUUGUGAGUGAGGCUUUUGGCGCCGCCUUGUCGCCGCGGCUCACUGGGUACGGCGUAUGUAUGAGAAAACAUCAAGAAAGGGGAGGGUAGGCCACCUCCGUCUUUUGCCACCUGAGCCGCCCCAAACAACCUGAUGACGGGGGGACGCCUCACAGUUCGUGGUGCAUCUCUGGAUCCAGCACCCCCUCCACUCUAUGUGUUUGUGCGGAACGCCUAGCAGCCCCCUCCCCCUUACCCCUGCCAAUGCCGAGCCACCUCCGGCGCUGACGGGGUCAAGCACCUACGACGUGGCGAAGUCAGUGCGAUGCAUUGCUACUGAUGCCGGCAGUCAGAUCCUGGAUGGCACUGCGUCGGAGCGACCUGCGGCAGCGAACACGCUUGUACGAAUCCACACCAUGAGCAGGGUGUCGACGCGACUCGAACGCAUCUCACCCGGCCCACACACAGCCUACUGGUGGGGAGCCUGAGUGCCACCGCGAGGGAGAUGCAGCACGUGGCGGCCGGCAUACUGUGAGCGGCUGCGAGGCGACCUGCGCAGCGGGUGGGUAACGUUCGAGCCAGGGGCCGUGCUCAGGUGGCUGAGUCGGCAUUGCUGUACCACGUGUCUACAGCUGCGCUGCACCACGCGAUGGGGCCUGUGACAGGUCGGCUACAGUAGAGUCGACUUCAUGUUGUAUGGCAGAGUGGGCAACUUGAGGGACAGCAAGAGCAAAAAAAAAGAAAGAAACGCCCCUAUGCGCGCAUCGACAGAAAGCGCAGCACACACAAGGUCAACGUAUGUGGCAGAGAAACAGGCUGCGUCUGUGCAAGAGGCAGUGCGAAAUUCGACACAACAAUCCUUUCGCGGGGGGUGGGCGCUCGAGCCUUCCCUGUAGGGCAGUCCUUGAACUCACGCAUACUCGCACACACACACACACACACACACACACACAGGAAAGAGAAGCAGGGAAGCAAAAAACAACUACACGAACGUGUCUGCGCAAACAAGGAAAAGCGAAGUUGUGGUGAUGCGCGCUUUUAGUGAGUGGGGUUUAACUUUUCGUGGCCACACACCCUCGAGAAUGUUUGCUGCCGUGCCGUCGCGAUGGUGGCGAGGGGGAGGGCAAGUUUUGGCUGCACGGGGAUUCAUUGAGAAGCAAUCGUCUUCCAGCUAAGAGCAUGCAUGUGAGCUUCAGUACAUGUGCUUCUUGCGGCUGCUUAGCUUAUGGGGGAAUUGGAGUAUGGACUGGCUGAAGUCGCUGGGGGUGAUGCCCGUGAUGUAUGCGGAAGCCUGCAUUUUUCGCACACGCGCAACCUCUCAAGAUACAUGUGCGCACCCAUGGAGGCAACUUGCGCGUGCUAUUCACUAAGCAACACAGCACCAAAACGGGCUUGAAAUGCAGAACUCUCGCGCACAUCCGCGUCUGCAGCGUUUGGAUUCUAGUGGGCGAAGCUCGAUGGGGCCAUGAGGAGGGCGUGUGCAUGCGUGCGCGCGUGUGUCUGGGUGGGCGUGACGGCGGGGUAAGGAUGUAGGAGGAGGAGAAAAGAAGAACAGGAAGGCAGCUCGCGAGUAAAGCUCGAAAGCAACGAGCAGUACAGGUACGCCUGUUGACGUGCAUCGCAUCCUGGCUCUCUGAUGUUCCCUUCGACAUCUCGGGCUUCUCCCUGCCAAGCUCCUCCUCCUCUCGCCUUUGCCUCACUCGCUGAAUAUAUGGAUGACGCUCGGCCACGUGGUAGCUGCACGUAGCGUGCGCGCCCAUGACCUUGCCACUACUGUGGGAUGGCGUGGCUGACGGCGGAGAACAUGCCGCCGCGCUGCUUGCAGAACGUGCUAGAGGUUCGAACACCUGACCUUCACGAUCGCCCUCUCCCAUGACGCGUUCGAUUUGGUGCCCCGUCUCACCGCCUAUUUGACGCGACCCUCAUCCCUUUCGUAUGUGCUGCUUCACCGCCUCUCUCGCAUCCUUCGCUUUUUCGUUUGCUCCUCCUUCUCUCGCUUCUGCUCUCGCUUUGGCCUCUCCUGUUGCGCCGCGGUCGCUGUCCGGACAACGGUGCCGCCAUGUAACUCUCGCCCUGCCAUCUGCAUCGAUUGCUCCCCCUUCUCCAUCGUACUGCUUUCGCCAACGCGCGCGGCGGUUCUUUACGGCAUGCCUCCGACUAUUCGCUCGCACUGCCGUUUGCAUACACAUUUGCGUCUUAUCUCGCCUUCCCCCUCCCCGUCUCUCCGCCGCGGUCGCUUCGCACUUUGUCUGUGGGUUUUGCCGCAG